CGGCUCAGUAACACGUGGACAACCUACCCUAUGGAGGGGGAUAACCCCGGGAAACUGGGGAUAAUACCCCAUAGACUAUAGAUGCUGGAAUGCCUUGUAGUUGAAAGGUCCGCCGCCAUAGGAUGGGUCUGCGGCCGAUUAGGUUGUUGUUGGGGUAACGGCCCAACAAGCCUGUAAUCGGUACGGGUUGUGGGAGCAAGAGCCCGGAGAUGGAUUCUGAGACACGAAUCCAGGCCCUACGGGGCGCAGCAGGCGCGAAAACUUUACAAUGCGGGAAACCGUGAUAAGGGAACUCCGAGUGCCCGUAAAAUCGGGCUGUCCAUCUGUUUAAAUAACAGGUGAAGAAAGGGCCGGGCAAGACCGGUGCCAGCCGCCGCGGUAAUACCGGCGGCUCGAGUGGUGGCCACUAUUACUGGGCUUAAAGCGUUCGUAGCUGGUCUGUUAAGUCUCUGGGGAAAUCUACUGGCUUAACCAAUAGGCGUCUCAGGGAUACUGGCAGACUAGGGACCGGGAGAGGUGAGAGGUACUCCAGGGGUAGGAGUGAAAUCCUGUAAUCCUUGGGGGACCACCUGUGGCGAAGGCGUCUCACCAGAACGGCUCCGACAGUGAGGGACGAAAGCUGGGGGAGCAAACC
rnacentral:rRNA from 1 species